CCUACGGGUGGCAGCAGUGGGGAAUAUUGGACAAUGGGCGAAAGCCUGAUCCAGCCAUGCCGCGUGUGUGAAGAAGGCCUUCGGGUUGUAAAGCACUUUCAGUGGGGAAGAAAGCCUUGGGGCUAAUACCCUCGAGGAAGGACAUCACCCACAGAAGAAGCACCGGCUAACUCCGUGCCAGCAGCCGCGGUAAACGGAGGGUGCGAGCGUUAAUCGGAAUUACUGGGCGUAAAGCGCGCGUAGGCGGUCUGAUAAGCCGGUUGUGAAAGCCCCGGGCUCAACCUGGGAACGGCAUCCGGAACUGUCAGGCUAGAGUGCAGGAGAGGAAGGUAGAAUUCCCGGUGUAGCGGUGAAAUGCGUAGAGAUCGGGAGGAAUACCAGUGGCGAAGGCGGCCUUCUGGACUGACACUGACGCUGAGGUGCGAAAGCGUGGGUAGCAAACAGGAUUAGAUACCCCGGUAGUC
rnacentral:rRNA from 1 species